GGCAGGCUCUGGAGCAGCCUUGAGGUGUCCGGGUGAAGGAGGAUAUCUCGCUCGGUCUAGCUGAGGAUUGUUAGAAAAUGUGGAUGCUUACUCCACACUGGAAAAUGCUACCAACUUCUUUCUAUAUUGAAAAGCAUUGCACAGCAUCUGAAUAGUCCACCAACCUUAUGAUAUUACAGGCACUUAGUAAGGGGAAUUGAGGUGAGGAAUGACACAACUCUGCAUCUGUUUUCCAGCUGUUUUUCCAGUUUCAAAGUUACAGAAAUGAUUCAAACAUGAAAUGAAGCCACUAGAAGAGAGCCUAGGGGAAAUUCUUGAGGACAUUGGAAUGGGCAAUGAGUUUUUUGGACAAGAAGCCAAAAGCACAGGAAACGAAAGAGGGCAAGUGGAAUUUCAUCAAAUGAAAAACCUGCAUAGCGAAGGAAACACUCAACAGAGUGAAGAAUCAAUCUACAGAAUGGGAGGAAAUAUUUUUUAAAAGGAAUGUAAGAAUGGGUAUUAUAUAAAACACUAAAGAUAAGUCCUUGUGAGGAUGUGAAGAAAAAGGAAUUACACAGUGUUAGUGGGAAUAUAAAUUAGUAUGGCUACUAUGGAAAACAAUAUGGAGGUUACUAAAAAAUUAAAGAACUACCAUGUGAUUGAGCAUUCCUAUUCUUGAGUGUAUCUAUAUCCAAAGGAAAUGAAAUCAGUAUGUUAGAAAGACUUCUGCACCCCUAUGUUUAUUGCUGCACUAUUUACAGUAGCUGAGAAACGGAACAACCUAAGUGUCCGCCAAGUGAUGAAUAGCUAAAGAAAAUGUGCAUGAACAUAUAUACAAUGGAAUACUUUAAGCCACAAAAAUGAGUGAAAUCUUGAAAAUUGUGACUACACGAGAGACUGUCAUCUCAAAUGAAAUAAGCCAGGCAAGUAGAAAGACAAGUAUGCAUGACCUCAUUCAUAUGUGUAAUUUUAAAAAAUUGAUUCCAUAGAAGUUGAGAAUAGAAUGAUAGUUACCAGUCUGGAGGCAGUAGGAGAGAGAGAAGGAUAAAAAAGUUUGAUCAAUGGGUAGUAUAUUACUGUUUAGAGUAAGAAAAUCUACUGUGCUAUAUUGCACAAUAGGGUAACUAGAUUAUA